rnacentral:rRNA from 1 species
CCUACGGGCGGCUGCAGUGGGGAAUAUUGCACAAUGGGCGCAAGCCUGAUGCAGCCAUGCCGCGUGUGUGAAGAAGGCCUUCGGGUUGUAAAGCACUUUCAGCGGGGAGGAAGGCGGUGAGGUUAAUAACCUCAUCGAUUGACGUUACCCGCAGAAGAAGCACCGGCUAACUCCGUGCCAGCAGCCGCGGUAAUACGGAGGGUGCAAGCGUUAAUCGGAGUUACUGGGCGUAAAGCGCACGCAGGCGGUCUGUCAAGUCGGAUGUGAAAUCCCCGGGCUCAACCUGGGAACUGCAUUCGAAACUGGCAGGCUAGAGUCUUGUAGAGGGGGGUAGAAUUCCAGGUGUAGCGGUGAAAUGCGUAGAGAUCUGGAGGAAUACCGGUGGCGAAGGCGGCCCCCUGGACAAAGACUGACGCUCAGGUGCGAAAGCGUGGGGAGCAAACAGGAUUAGAUACCCUUGUAGUC